UACGAAGGGGGCUAGCGUUGUUCGGAAUUACUGGGCGUAAAGCGCGCGCAGGCGGUCUUCCAAGUCAGUGGUGAAAGCCCGGAGCUCAACUCCGGAACUGCCAUUGAAACUGUGAGACUUGAGGAUGAGAGAGGUGAGUGGAAUUCCCAGUGUAGAGGUGAAAUUCGUAGAUAUUGGGAAGAACACCGGUGGCGAAGGCGGCUCACUGGCCCGAUACUGACGCUGAGGUGCGAAAGCGUGGGGAGCAAACAGG
rnacentral:rRNA from 1 species